rnacentral:rRNA from 1 species
UACGUAGGGGGCAAGCGUUGUCCGGAAUCAUUGGGCGUAAAGAGCGCGUAGGCGGUCCGGUAAGUCCGCUCUGAAAGUCCGGGGCUCAACCCCGGGAGGCGGGCGGAUACUGUCGGGCUAGAGUCCGGAAGAGGCGAGUGGAAUUCCUGGUGUAGCGGUGAAAUGCGCAGAUAUCAGGAAGAACACCCGUGGCUAAGGCGGCUCUCUAGUACGGUACUGACGCUGAGACGCGAAAGCGUGGGGAGCGAACAGG